AUGAACGCUGGCGGCGUGCCUAAUACAUGCAAGUCGAGCGAACAGAUAAGGAGCUUGCUCCUUUGACGUUAGCGGCGGACGGGUGAGUAACACGUGGGUAACCUACCUAUAAGACUGGGAUAACUUCGGGAAACCGGAGCUAAUACCGGAUAACAUUUGGAACCGCAUGGUUCUAAAGUGAAAGAUGGUUUUGCUAUCACUUAUAGAUGGACCCGCGCCGUAUUAGCUAGUUGGUAAGGUAACGGCUUACCAAGGCGACGAUACGUAGCCGACCUGAGAGGGUGAUCGGCCACACUGGAACUGAGACACGGUCCAGACUCCUACGGGAGGCAGCAGUAGGGAAUCUUCCGCAAUGGGCGAAAGCCUGACGGAGCAACGCCGCGUGAGUGAUGAAGGGUUUCGGCUCGUAAAACUCUGUUAUUAGGGAAGAACAAACGUGUAAGUAACUGUGCACGUCUUGACGGUGCCUAAUCAGAAAGCCACGGCUAACUACGUG
rnacentral:rRNA from 1 species